rnacentral:rRNA from 1 species
UAUCUCUGUAGAGUCUGCAUAUCAAUAAGCGGAGGAAAAGAAACUAACAAGGAUUCCCCUAGUAACGGCGAGUGAAGCGGGAAGAGCUCAAAUUUGAAAUCUUCAAGGGUUUCCCUUGACGAAUUGUAGUUUAUAGAAGUGUUUUCUGUUAGAGAGGUGGUAAAAGUUCUUUGGAAUAGGACAUCAUAGAGGGUGAGAAUCCCGUAUUUGAUCACUUUCUACUAACGUUGUGAUACACUUUCAACGAGUCGGAUUGUUUGGGAAUGCAGUCCAAAAUGGGUGGUAAAUUUCAUCUAAAGCUAAAUAUUGGCGAGAGACCGAUAGCGAACAAGUACCGUGAGGGAAAGAUGAAAAGAACUUUGAAAAGAGAGUUAAACAGUACGUGAAAUUGUCAAAAGGGAAGCGUUUGACACCAGUGUUGUUUUUCCGAAAAUCAAUUACGAAUGUUUUGUUUUUGAGGAGUUAUGACUUCAUCGGCUUGCUUCUCUCUUUACGAAACUUUCUUAAUGCACUUUUCGGUUAACAAGUCAACAUCAAUUUCUUUUGUUGUAAAAGGGUAUGAGGAAGGUGGCUUUCUUUUCGGAGAAAGUGUUUAUAGCCUUUGACUUCUGCAAUCGGAGAGAUUGAGGACUGCAGCGUAGACUCUUCGGGGUUAGAUACAUUUGUGCUAAGUUAUAGCUUUUCAUAGACAACUUGUUGACUAUGUUUAGUCUUGUAGCUUACUCGCUGACGCUAUUUUACCUACGCUUAGGAUGUUGACGCAUGAGAUAUACGC